rnacentral:rRNA from 1 species
UACGUAGGGUGCGAGCGUUAAUCGGAAUUACUGGGCGUAAAGCGUGCGCAGGCGGUUAUGUAAGACAGGUGUGAAAUCCCCGGGCUUAACCUGGGAACUGCAUUUGUGACUGCAUAGCUGGAGUACGGUAGAGGGGGAUGGAAUUCCGCGUGUAGCAGUGAAAUGCGUAGAUAUGCGGAGGAACACCGAUGGCGAAGGCAAUCCCCUGGACCUGUACUGACGCUCAUGCACGAAAGGCGUGGGGAGCAAACAGG